AAGUCGUAACAAGGUUUCCGUAGGUGAACCUGCGGAAGGAUCAUUAACACGUGUAAACGUAUUAAUCAUCACCUUUCUUACAACCCGUGAAUCAAAACUCUACCUAGUAACAUAGGACUGACUUUGUAUCGAUAGUAGUAGGAUAUGCCAAAAGCAUAUGUAAUCGUAUGAAGUCAUCAGAUUCGUCUGAAGGUUCUAUGUUCAUUAGGCUUAUUUUUUCUCUUUUUUUCCCCUACUACAAAAAAGGAAAAAACCAAAACUAACCAAUUUCGCCUUUAUAAAACAUUAGUCUGAUGUAUGUUGAAUGUCAAGAAAUUGACUGGUUCAACACCAUUUAUCUUAAACUAAGCACAACUCUUAGCAAUGGAUAUCUUGGUUCUC
rnacentral:misc_RNA from 1 species